AGUGAACGCUGGCGGUAGGCCUAACACAUGCAAGUCGAACGGCAGCACAGUAAGAGCUUGCUCUUACGGGUGGCGAGUGGCGGACGGGUGAGGAAUACAUCGGAAUCUACUUUUUCGUGGGGGAUAACGUAGGGAAACUUACGCUAAUACCGCAUACGACCUACGGGUGAAAGCAGGGGAACUUCGGACCUUGCGCGAAUGGAUGAGCCGAUGUCGGAUUAGCUAGUUGGCGGGGUAAAGGCCCACCAAGGCGACGAUCCGUAGCUGGUCUGAGAGGAUGGUCGGCCACAUUGGAACUGGGACACGGUCCAGGCUCCUACGGGAGGCAGCAGUGGGGAAUAUUGGACAAUGGGCGCAAGCCUGAUCCAGCCAGACCGCGUGGGUGAAGAAGGCCUUCGGGUUGUAAAGCCCUUUUGUUGGGAAAGAAAAGCAGCAGGUUAAUACCCCGCUGUUCUGACGGUACCCAAAGAAUAAGCACCGGCUAACUUCGUG
rnacentral:rRNA from 1 species